CCACUUCACAUUGAAACACAGGUUCUCGCACGAUCAAGGAAGUUAAGCAAUGUCAAGCCUGAUCAUUACUUUGAUGGGUGACCGCUUAGGAAUACCAAGUGCUGUAAG